AUGGCGCAGGCGCCAGCCAAUUUGUCUCCAGUAGACCUUGUCGUUGUUCAAGCAGUGCAGGCACGCCGUGGGGUUGCCCGCAAAGACACAGGAGAACUCGUGGUGCAGUCGAACACAAUGGGCCUGCAGAUGGACUCCUGCCUCCUGCCUGGUCACGGUCACAUUGCAUUUGGCCUGGUCUCUGCUCACAAAGCUGCCAGUGACAAUGACCUGGGUUGGCGGGCUUGUGGACACUAUCACGGGCUUCUCCAGAGGAACCCACCCAUCCUGCUCUGCCUCCAAAUUCAUGUCAUCCUCUUCUCCACUUUGGGCCUCUGUCAGGAGCCCCUGAGCAGCCAGCAGGAGGACGGAGAGCAGGGAACAUCAGUUACUGCAGAGAUUACUUGAAUCCAUCCACACUGGGAGGAAGAAGAGAAGUCCAAUUCUAUCAGACACCGACUGCACGCUGAGCACUGGUCCAGCGACCAGUCUCACCUUGUUUAAUCCACAGAAAACCUUGCAACCAGGCUGAUUACAGGAACAGCCCCAAGAAAGAGUCCUGGCAGUGAGGCCCUGCCAGGUAAGUAACUGUGCUGGUCCAGUGUGUGGAGGAACAGAGCCCCGCAGGGAGUGACCCCAUCUCCCUAUCCCUUCCUGCCACUUCUUGUAGUCACCCCUGCUCUGCACCACUCACCUAACUUUGAAACAAUGCUGGCAAAAGGAAGACAACUGUGAACCAAGCAGGAUUUAGCACUGAUAAGUUGAUUCACAUAAGCUGAGAUCUUUUCCCAAAAUGAAAGAAUUGUGGGGCUCGUGCAGUGGCGCAAUGGGUUAAUCCUCUUCUUGCGGCACCAGCAUCCCAUAUGGCACCGGUUCUAGUCCUGGCUGCUCCUUUUCCAAUCCAGCUCUCUGCUGUGGCCUGGGAAAGCAGUAGAAGAUGGCCCAAGUUCUUGCGCCCCUGUACCCAGGUGG
rnacentral:lncRNA from 1 species